rnacentral:lncRNA from 1 species
UGAAAUCAAUAAAAUAUCGACUCAUCACUUGCAGCACGUAGAAGCUCACUGGUCCAACACCUUCAUCAUCUAUAGCAGCACGUUAGAUAAAAAAGAGCAGUUGGAUUCAUCCAAGAGUAGCAGCCCAUCCCGCUAGCAGUAGGACGUGUCCAGCAACAUCCAGCAACAAGCUUUGGAGGUACAAACAGCAAGGCUAAGGCAACAACACCC